AUGAGGACCUCCCUCCUAAAGAAGUUUCACCAGAUAUUCUUGUUCCCGGGCCGGAAUGAAAAUGAUUAUAAAGAUCCAGAUAAGGACCCGACAAUGAAGAAGAUAAACAAACACGCCAUGACCAAGUUUAGCGACGCGUUGGCCGCCUGGAAAACAAGGGUGAAAGCAAGGAUCAUCGACAAGAAGGAUCCCUACUCCGAGAUUGUAAAGGAUAAUCCGACAAUCACGGAAGAGCAGUUUCAAAUAUUCAAGGUGGCUUGCAAGGCCGAAGCCGCCAAAAAAAGGUCUAAGUACAUGAAGGGGCUUCAACAGAGGAACAUUGGGAGCCACCACCUCGGAAGCCGUGGUUACGGCGGGAAGAGGUCCAAAUGGGCCAAGGAGGACGCGGAAGCCGCGAGUCUGGGCAUCCCAGACCCCUUGGUGGAGUUCACCGUCCCGCAGGAGCGUGACGUCCUCAGGGCCCGGCACCGUUGGGACCCAGUGAAGAAGGUUUUUGAGACGAACGCGGUCACGACAGAGUUCAUCAGACUUCUGAGAGAGCAGCACAGGAUUGCGGCCGAAAGUGACUCGCCGUCUGAGGCGUUGGCGAGGCCCAAGUGGGACACUCCAUUCAACCGGGCGUUGAACAUAUUGAAACGACUCCCGGUGGAUACUCGACCGUCGUAUGGACGCGUGCACAGUGUCGGAGACGGCGCCACGUGGAAGAAGUACUGA
rnacentral:rRNA from 1 species